CCGGCGCACGGGUGAGUAACACGUAUCCAACCUGCCGUCUACUCUUGGACAGCCUUCUGAAAGGAAGAUUAAUACAAGAUGGCAUCAUGAGUCCACAUGUUCACACGAUUAAAGGUAUUCCGGUAGACGAUGGGGAUGCGUUCCAUUAGAUAGUAGGCGGGGUAACGGCCCACCUAGUCUUCGAUGGAUAGGGGUUCUGAGAGGAAGGUCCCCCACAUUGGAACUGAGACACGGUCCAA
rnacentral:rRNA from 1 species